rnacentral:lncRNA from 1 species
GUGAUAGUUACCACUGCAUUUAGAAAUUGAAAGCAUUCAUGCAGACACGGAUGAUUUUCAUAUUUUUGGCUACCACUUCAAAUGCCUCCACCAAGUCUUACAAUCCUGCACGUAGCCAUACUAAGGAUCUCGCAGCAACACCUGCAGGUAAAAAGCAGAAGCAGUCAAAGUGCUGGUGUGUACUGGACACUAUGUUUGAAAACUUUUAGGCAAGAAGAGUGCAAGAAGCAGACAUAACUGCAUUUAUUUCCAUAAUUCCCCAUUUGAAUGGCCUUUUAUUUUUGCUUAGACAAUGCCUACGCCUAGCCACAGCAGCUCCCUCAUACAGACUCCGCAAGCCAAGAGGCCGUGGAGGCAAAUGCAGCCAGCACACCUCGAACAGCCACCCUGACUGCGGGUGUGUCACCCUAGUCGCCAAGGAAACAUUUGAGGGAAAGCGACAGGCAAUGUGAACAGCCACUUCUCCAUGUAAACUAUACUCUUUCUCUCGGAUGACUCCUACGCCUCGCCACACCAGCACACUUGUGCACAAAGAUGCCGCGGAGGCACGUGCAGGUCAGAGGCAAGAAGCAGUGGCACUGGUGUCGACAGUCACCCAAUUUCUUUUUCUUACACUGAGGCAGCCAGCACACCUCGAACAGCCACCUUGACUGCGGGUGUGUCAGUAGAUUCCUGUUGUACAUAUGCUCAUAAUAAACUUCAGUAAACUUGAACUUGAUAAUAAACUUGAAGGCAAAUGGGA